rnacentral:lncRNA from 1 species
UACUCUUCCAAUUGAAUCAUGUAGAGCUCUAAAUUCGCACCCUCCAAACUCGUCUCGUUACUGUGGAACGGCCUCCUCCUCAGGCAAUUUCCGCCUUGAUUCCACAAUCCGUUCUCGAAAUGGGAAGGCGCGAAGGUCCUUAAGAAGGUAAUCCCCUUGUAAUUUUUCAAACUGUUGAUGGCUUUGAAUGCGGUUCUGAAGGCUUGUCUGUAGCCGUAAUACAUUGUUAGGUCGGUAACGUUUGGAAGGAGACAGUAAUGGCAGCCGACGAUUUGGUUGUUUUGGUAGAAGACUUGCGAUCGGAAGAACCAGUGACCGGCGGAGAGGAUGACGUAGUCGAAAUCUUGGAUCCGGGUGACCCAUUCGGGGUCGGGUUCGU